ACUCAAAGGAAUUGACGGGGAUCCGCACAAGCAGUGGAUCAUGUGGUUUAAUUCGAUGCUACGCGAAGAACCUUACCGAGGCUUGACAUCCCGCGAAGGCGCCCGAAAGGGUGCUGUGCCUUCGGGAACGCGGUGACAGGUGCUGCAUGGCCGUCGUCAGCUCGUGUCGUGAGAUGUUGGGUUAAGUCCCGCAACGAGCGCAACCCUUGUCGUCUGUUGUAUUUUUCAGGCGAGACCGCCCGGGCCAACCGGGAGGAAGGUGGGGAUGACGUCAGGUCAGCAUGGCCCUUACGCCUCGGGCUACACACGUGAUACAAUGGCCGGUACAACGAGUCGCUAAACCGCGAGGUGGAGCUAAUCUCAUCAAAACCGGUCUCAGUUCGGAUUGCAGGCUGCAACUCGCCUGCAUGAAGCUGGAAUUGCUAGUAACCGUGGGUCAGCAUACCACGGUGAAUACGUUCCCGGAUCUUGUACACACCGCCCGU
rnacentral:rRNA from 1 species